rnacentral:lncRNA from 1 species
CCAGUUUCGACCAACCAGGAAGACGAGUUCCGAUAGACCAGAUCUGGAGGACGAGUUCAGGAGGACCAUAGUCAGUUCCUAUGAACUUUAACCAGCUCCGACAGAGCAGAUUCGGCGGACCAGAUAGACCAGUUACGAUAGACUAGUUGUGGCAAACCAGAUCCGGCGAAUCAUUUUCCGGUUGACAAAAACUAGUUAUGAUAGACUUGUUCUAGGUGAUAAAAUCCGGCGGACCAGUUAUGGUGACCUGAUUCGGCGAUGGACAAUACAUCUUUCUGUAGAUGGACAAGAUUCGGCGGAUCAGAUGUAAUGGACUAGAUCUUGUGGACGAG